ACUCCUACGGGAGGCAGCAGUGGGGAAUAUUGCACAAUGGGCGCAAGCCUGAUGCAGCCAUGCCGCGUGUAUGAAGAAGGCCUUCGGGUUGUAAAGUACUUUCUAGCAGUGAGGAAGGUGGAUAUGUUAAUAGCAUACUCUAUUUGUACGUUAGCUGCAGAAGAAGCACCGGCUAACUCCGUGCCAGCAGCCGCGGUAAGUACGGAGGGUGCGAGCGUUAAUCGGAUUACGUGGCGUAAGCGCAUGGCUAGGUGGUUUGUUAAGUCAGAUGUGAAGCCCGGGCUCAACUCGGAAUUGCUAUUGAAACUGGCAAACUAGAGUACUGGUAGAGGGGUUAGAAUUUCGAGGUGUAGC
rnacentral:rRNA from 1 species